rnacentral:rRNA from 1 species
GAUGAACGCUGGCGGCGUGCCUUAUACAUGCAAGUCGAGCGAACAGACGAGUAGCUUGCUCCUCGGACGUUAGCGGCGGACGGGUGAGUAACGCGUGUAUAAGCUACCUGUAAGACUGGGAUAACUUCGUUAAACCAUAGCUCAUACCGUAUAAUAUAUUGAGCCGCAUGUUUCAAUAGUUAAAGACGGUUUUGCUGUCACUUAUAGAUGGAUCCGCGCAGCAUUAGCUAGUUGGUAAGGUAACGGCUUACCAAGGCAACUAUGCGUAGCCGACCUGAGAGGGGGACUGGCAAACCGGGACCUGAGAAACGGUCAAGCCCCCUCGGGAAGGAAGAAGUAGGGAAUCUUGAGAAAUGGGGGAAAGCCUGACGGAGCAACGCGGCGGGAGUGAUGAAGGUCUGCGGUUGGUAAAACCCUGUUAUUGGGGAAGAAAAAAUGUGUCAGUAAAUAAGCAGGCAUUGACGGUACGUAAGCAGAAAGACACGGUUACUUCCGU